rnacentral:siRNA from 1 species
UGCAAUUUUCUCGCAGUUGCC